UUCAAUUAAUAAAAUUAUUUGUGAUUUCUUCUAUGAGUUAUAAGAUUCCUUCGGAAUCUUGCGACAACAGUCUAAAGAUUCCUUCGGAAUCUUGUAACCUUGAAGUAUCCUAAACUACCUUUUGACCCCGUAUCGACUGAGCCCUUAAGAGAGUUUCCGUUUAAACUCCUGGGCGAGAUGCAAUGUUUUCUAACUUGCAUAAUAUGCCGUACUCCCGAUUUAAUCGGGAUGAAGAUAUAGUCAGCGCUCACAGUAAUGUGAGA
rnacentral:autocatalytically_spliced_intron from 2 species